AGGCUCCAGGCUCUGAGCUGUCAGCACAGAGCUCAACAUGGGGCUCGAACUCACGGACUGUGAGAUCAUGACCUGAGCCGAAGUCAGACGCUUAACCAACUGAGCCACCCAGGCGCCCCUGUUCUUUGAUAUCUUGAUGAAGGAGUUAUAUUGGGAUCUUCUAAUUGCUUUGAGUGUCAGUGGAGGUUUUGGCUUGGAAAAUACUUCAUAUCAUGUCUGGUGGAGAAAGGUAAGAUAAUUUUGUAUACUUUAGGGAUGGAAGCUAAUCUUGACCAACUAAAUGAACCACCAUAUAUUGAAGAAGAAGGGCCACUUAUUUCACAUCCACCCUCAUGGCACCGGCCCAGUCAGGUCAUAUCUUCCGAGGGGACUAUACUUCACAAAUUGAUUUUAGUCUUUGCCCUGUGAUUUCUUUCAGCCAGUGAGAUAUGAGCGGCCUAAUGAAGCAGUCUAUACCAUCUCUGAGCAGAAUCCUCCCAUCGUUUUGGGCCAUUCCUCUUUUCUCACCACUAUGAGCCUGCCCUAGAUAAUGAUGAUUCCAUUAACCUGAAUCCCAGAAGGAUGAGAGAUAGACUUUUGUUGAGCAGCUGUAGCCUGGAGGGUCUCAGCCCUGAGUGGGGUGCCAGGGGCCACCGUCAAACCCUGCUCCUGGUCCUGCUUGUUCCUUGCUGAUCCCCCCCAUCUCCCAGUCCUCCAUGGUUUGGCUGCUGUUGCCUUUGCAGAAGGACCUUAUAGGAUUUCCACUUAUGCCCAGUGAUUUUGGGACUUGAUAAAAUUCAACAUUAUCACUGAAUCCUGCUGUUGUAAAAUCUGAGGCUCCUUGCUGUCUGGGCGCAACAAGAAGAAAUGAAACUCCAGGGACUAUUUCUGCGAUCUGCGCUCAAGGCCGAGCCCCUUUCCCACCUGCACCCUCUGGUGUUUGGCUCGGUCCCUGGAAGAGUGUGCUCAGAUGUGUCCUCCCUGCAGACACCUGCCCAAGCAUAUGCAUGUUCACAAUCUCCGGGGGCACCUCUUCCUGAGUAAGUGACCAUUUCCCUCCACGAGAGGUUCUCACACUGCAUUUUGGUGCAGUGUGACAGCCAGUAAAACUUAGAGGCAAAACGGCUUUCCAGAGAAUGGAAAAUGAAUGCGAUUUGGGGACGGAUGUCCCAGAUGCAAUGCCAGGUAUGUCAUUAACUUAGACUUGUGAUUGUAAAAAUAGCAACUUAUUUGACCAUGGGCUAAGUGUUUUCCAUAAACUCAUCUCAUUUAACCUGUACAACUCUGUCAGAGGUGAGGAGUUUGAGGGAGCAGGUCUAGGUGACGUGCCCAAAGAUACCCAAAUGGGAGGGUACAAAGGGGAGCCUGGUCCCUGGGCUUCAGAGCACAAGUUGACAACCACCCCUUAAUGUUUUAUAACUUGAAGCUUGUUUGAACUUCCAUCUCUCCAUCUCUACAUGUAACCCUUGCACUAGAGGGGAGCCCUAUGUGGGUUUUGAGCGGCAUGAGUGGAGAAUAGCACGGAGUUCCUAUGAAAGUCUGUGCUUUCUUGAGUUCUGUGCUUUGCAAAUAUUUGCCAUGACUUCUAGGGAAGAGCUGAGUGUUGAGUGCUUGCAAGUUCCUCCUUGCUAGGGACUAUCCAAACCAGUGGAAAAUCUGGGCCUUGAAGUCCAGUGGGUUUUCUUUUACCAUAAAAGCACCUGAGCUCCUUCCUGCUCAACACUCAGUACAGGAGGCAGUGACCACCCCACUGUGUCUCUUUCAGUAACAUUGCUUCCUCUUUCCCUACAACCUUGAGUUUCCUCUACCUUCUACAUGAACUGCAUUACUGUGGAGCCUUUGGCCUGAAACCCACACAUGAGACAGGAGCCGUUUCUAGGAUAAAGCCUGCGUUCUUCAGGGAACAUUCAGCCAGUGGGAACAUCUGGGUCCAGGUUUGGCUCCAAGGAGGCACCACACGUAUGUGAGACCCACCAUUACCGUCUGGGCAGGUCUGAGGCUGGAUGGCUGUCUUCCCCCUGGAGUCGCUUGUUCAUUUCUUGCUCAAUUUCUGCAACCCUUGAGUGCCUUUCAUGCUCCAGACAGGAGAGAGGGCUCAGCAGGAAUAAGAUAAUCUCUGUUCUACUUGUCCUUGUAGGGCGGAGGGUGAUGCAGAAAAUACAUGCGAAUAAACAUGGAAAUAAGAUGAUUUCAGAAAGGAUGAGCACUAUGAGGCCAUACGUGGGGUGAAGUGAUAGAGAGGAAUGGAUGAACACAGCCACUAGUCUGUGGGGGUCAGGAAAGGGCGCCCUUCAAGAAGACAGGACCAGAGUGGGUGUCGAAAUGAAGGAGGCAGCACCCACCCAUCUGGGGAAAGGUGUUCCUGGUGGAAGAAACGACACGAGUGGGCUUGAGAUGCUGGUUGGACAGAAGGAUGGUCAGUGGCUGUGUUGGAGGGGCGUGGGCCUGCACAUGUCUGGACCAGGACACGCAUCACCUCACGGGUCACUGGAGCAUGGAUUUGAAUCUCAGUGUGAUUUAGAGGCAUUGGUGGGCUUUUAGCAUCAUGGCCUCAUGGUCUCAUUUAGGGUCUUAAGCUGUUUCCAUUUGCUGUACAGUUAUAAAGUGGAGACGGUUCAGGGAAGGAGGGAGUAGGGGUUGACUGCUGGCCUCUGAGGUCCUUUCCAUCCCUAAAUCCAUGCUUGUGAUGGGGCAGGGUGGUACAGGACACAGGACUGGGAAGAGAGUCGGGGUCCUGGAAAGGCAUUGUCGCCUUCAUAAUUUUGCCUGGGUCAGGUCCUAGGUGAAGAGUUGCUGGGCUUGACCUUUGAACCCAGUCAGGGCUCCCCUGGGGCGCCUUUCAGAGUCAAGGUUAACGUUGCCUCUCAUUACCCUCAGGAGUGCAGGUUGAGCGGGGUGGAAGCAGGUGGCCUCAGGGUUAAAUCUCAUUCACAUUCACAUCAGGAACAAAAUAAUCCACAAUUCUCAAUGUUGUAAUUCUGUCAGGUCUCCUAUUGAGAUGUUGUGUAAUCACUUUAUACAAUGGCAAUAAAACCAGAAGAGAAGCAUCAAAAUUAUUUUAAGAGAAAAGCAAAAUGAAAUACUGGUUUCCUGGAUUAUUUUAGAAGACUUCCUAAAAACAACAAAAACUGUAAUUAUGCUGUUUGCAAAUAGAAUAAAAUGAAGCAAUUAACUUAGUGUCACAUUGAAAUAAUCUACAACUAUAGAACAUUAUCUACGAAGUAUGAACCCCAUGUGGUUUUCAUUUUAGACAUUACAUAAUCACUUAAUAGCAAUAAAACUUAAAUAGUAUUAGAAAAUGAUUUUAGUGGAGAGAAUAAGAACAUUUUGCUGUGGUUCUGGUUCUGUAAUUGUAGGAUCAAUGGAAAAUGGGAUCAACUGGGUGGUGAUUCACUUCUGUUUUCAGGUGGUGUGGACAGCCUUUGGUGCAGAGACAUUUCCUGUGACUGAUGGAGGAUGGGGAGAAAGUGUGGGGCCAGUGAAGCCCCUUGUUGGAGAAGAUUCCUAGGCUAUUUUUUUUCUGAAUUUCUGGCAUGGGGGAAGACUGGAGAGUCCUCUUCCCCCUGAGCUAUCUGCUUAAGCUUUUCUAAAACAUCUCAAGUCUGACAAGGGACGAAGGGGAAACCCAGAGUCUAGGUCAAUGGAAUUCUGAUCCUAUGAUUUGUUGAAUCAAAAGAAAAGUCCCAAGCUGCUGUGUACACCUGGAGUGCCAGGAUACCCUGGCUGUCUCGAGAUCUUGAGAAAGAUCUGCUCUGUUGAGAUGGAGUUGAUCUGCCGGAAGGAUCUUUCCCUUGGGCUUCUGAUCCUUGGAGGGACCCUGGUUCCUCAACCCACCACAGCUUAGUGCUGCUCCUUCCUUGGGGAUCUGGACAUCCCGAGGAUGCCCUGGUGGUCUCUGCCCUCUGCCACCUGUUCUGUUUGCAGCAUCAGGGACGUAAGGAUAUUUUUGGAAAUCUUACAUUCUUCCUCAGUGUUUUUUUUUCUUCUCCUCCCUCAGGUAUGCACUUUCUUUUCUUAACCUAUGGAGGUGACUCUCAGCCAACAGAGCCCCCAACUCAUUGUCACGGGCUCUUUUAAAAAUAGGAUUCAAUAAUAACACACGAUUCUUUCGAAUUUGUCUGAAAGAAUUUUGACGUGUAUAUUGUAGGUGUCCAGCUCUUCGCAUUAAUGGCUGGUCUCGCCAUCGGUUUUUUGAAGGAUUCUCCUACAUCCCUGAGGGGUACAUCCUCUCUAAAUCAGGUAUUUGGAGAAAAUGAUUUUUAUGCUGAUACACUUCAGAGAGGACGGGAAGUUUCCGCUGGAGCUGAGGUAUCUCUGUUUCCAACUGUUUUUGUUUGUUUGUUUGUUUCUGAUUGCAGUGAAGCCUUCCUGGUUUAGAGACAUUUCUGGUGAUCUUUCAAGGCACCGAUUAGGUCAUAUUCUUCAGUGUAGUUAGCAUGCAACUGGUUUCUUUUUUCUUCAAGAGUUUUUAAGUGAGUGUGUAAGCUCAAACCACAUUGAUCAUUGUCUUCCCUUUGGUUCAUCUUCCACGUGGCCUCUGUUUUCUCGUGAAUUUGUUUCAUCUGAUUCCAAGCUCCCCCCAGCCAUGAAGACCCUUGUUGGAGAAGAUUCCUAGGCUGUUUUUUUUCUGAAUUUCUGGCAUGGGGGAAGACUGGAGAGUCCUAUUCCCCCUGAGCUAUCCGCUUAAGCUUUUCGAAAACAUCUGAAGUCUGACAGCAGCAGCCCUGCCCCCAUCUUCUGCAAUGUUUACCUGGAAGCUUGAUCUGACUUCCUUGAUCAGGCUUCCUUGAAGUUGAGGAUUUUUGUCCAGAGCAUCUCUAAGAGCUCCCUGAUUUUUUUUUUCCUUCAUUUUCCUGAUGGAUUUUGCAGAGGUUAACAGCGACAGUGACUUGAUUUUGGUUCUCUGAUGUUGCUUGUAAAGACUGGGUUUUUCUGGUAAUGUCAGCCAUUUGUUUGACUUGUUUCAGAUCUUGAGAUUUCUCCUCGUUGGGUAGUUUUGGAACGUCUCCUCUACAGGUCUUUAUUCAUGGUCUCCAACUUUCUUUUUUUUUUU